rnacentral:lncRNA from 1 species
CCCUGGUGGAUAGUGUGAGUGGAGUUAUUUUUGUGUGUGAGUGAGUCUCAGUCAAUUCCUGGAAUCGGAAACCCAAUAAUGGACCACUUAGUCUUCUUCAGACCUGCCAUAUGUGCUCUUGUAGUGUUUUUCUGUUUGCUAAUGGACUGAUGUUCGUGCUUGCGUUCUUAUUUUGGUCUGUUUUUGUUCUUGAAAACGAUUGAAUUGCGGUGUGAGAGUGUGUUUUUGUCGUCUUGUUUUUUUCAGGUCUUUGAAGAACAGCUUGUUCUCUGUCCGGAUGAAGAGGAAGAAGAACUAAACACGUUUAACUCAGAGAAGCUGUGUUCCUCUCCUGACUCCUGCACUCCAUUUCACCUCAGUUCUUCAGACACUGCUGCUGUCAUGCUCAGAGACUCCGCUAAGGUCAGACGCCACACAUAUCGCUACUCCUACAAAUCAGCAUACUCAGUAUGCCAGAUCUACAGACACUCGGCUGUAACAUUUUCCAUCCAAAUCCCAUCUCCUCCCUUCACUCUACUGCCUUUGUCCUAUGAUUGAUCUCUUUGAAAGUCUUGGGGAAAUACUUUAUUUGAUCUUGGCACAUUGUAGCCUGAAUCUUAAGCCACAACUCUUCUACUGCCUUACAAGUCUUUAGUUUGACAUGAAUCAAGACACUGUAGUUUAUGAGACACCAGACUUAGUGUAAUGGAUAGUUCACCCAAAACAAAACAACAAAAAAAUUGUCAUCACUUAUUCACCCUCAUGUCCUUCCAAACCUAUAUGAUUCUGAAAAAUCUCUC